rnacentral:rRNA from 1 species
CCCUUAGAUGUCCGGGGCUGCACGCGCGCUGCACUGAAGGAAUCAGCGUGCUAAAACCAUUGUCGAAAGGCAUUGGUAAACCCAUUAAAAUCCUACGUGAUUGGGAUCGGGAAUUGCAAUUAUUUCCCUUGAACGAGGAAUUCCCAGUAAGUGUGGGUCAUAAGCUCGCGUUGAUUACGUCCCUGCCCUUUGUACACACCGCCCGUCGCUGCCCGGGACUGAGCCGUUUCGAGAAAAGCGGGGACUGCUGCUGUCGGGGCUUUCGGGCCUUGGCUUCGGUGGAAACCGCUUUAAUCGCANUNGCUUGANCCGGGCAAAANUCGUANCA